AACCGUGCAAAGGUAGCGUAAUCACUUGCCCCCUAAAUAGGGGCCUGUAUGAAAGGUUAAUUGAGGACAACCCUGUCUUUUACGACCAAUCAAUGAAACUGAUCCCCCAGUACAAAAGCUGGGAUAAAUCCAUAAGACGAGAAGACCCUGUGGAGCUUUAAGCAAUAGUGUUACUACACCCCCCCCCCACAACCACCAAACCAGUAUAUAACAUUAGCUUUAAGUUGGGGUGACUGCGGAAAAAAAAACAACCUCCAUGAAACAGGCUAAAAGCCCCCCCCAGAUAUACCCAUCAAAUAAUAAGUAACUUGACCCAGUAAAACUGAUCAUCGAACCAAGUUACCCCAGGGAUAACAGCGCCAUCCCCUUCUAAAGUCCAUAUCGCCAAGGGGGCUUACGACCUCGAUGUUGGAUCAGGACCCCCAGAUGGUGCAGCCGCUAUCAAAGGUUCGUUUGUUCAACGAUUAAAGUCCUACGUGAU
rnacentral:rRNA from 1 species